rnacentral:rRNA from 1 species
AGCGAACGCUGGCGGCAGGCCUAACACAUGCAAGUCGAACGAACCCUUCGGGGUUAGUGGCGGACGGGUGAGUAACACGUGGGAACGUGCCUUUAGGUUCGGAAUAACUCAGGGAAACUUGUGCUAAUACCGAAUGUGCCCUUCGGGGGAAAGAUUUAUCGCCUUUAGAGCGGCCCGCGUCUGAUUAGCUAGUUGGUGAGGUAAUGGCUCACCAAGGCUACGAUCAGUAGCUGGUCUGAGAGGAUGACCAGCCACAUUGGGACUGAGACACGGCCCAAACUCCUACGGGAGGCAGCAGUGGGGAAUCUUGCGCAAUGGGCGAAAGCCUGACGCAGCCAUGCCGCGUGGAUGAUGAAGGUCUUAGGAUUGUAAAAUCCUUUCACCGGUGAAGAUAAUGACUGUAGCCGGAGAAGAAGCCCCGGCUAGCUUCGUGCCAGCAGCCGCGGUAAGAC